GCCGAAGUGGUGGAAUUGGUAGACACGACGGUCUCAAACACCGUUGCUUCACGGCGUGCCGGUUCGAGUCCGGCCUUCGGUACCA
rnacentral:tRNA from 1 species